rnacentral:rRNA from 1 species
UACGGAGGGUGCAAGCGUUAUCCGGAUUUACUGGGUUUAAAGGGUGCGCAGGCGGAUAUGUAAGUCAGUGGUGAAAUCUCCGGGCUUAACCCGGAAAGGUCAACUGAUACUGUGCGGCUAGAGUGCAGAAGGGGCAACUGGAAUUCUGCGGUGUAGCGGUGAAAAUGCGUAGAUAUCGAGAGGAACACCUGCGGCGAAGGCGGGUUGCUGGGCUGACACUGACGCUGAUGCGCGAAAGCCAGGGGAGCGAAACGGG